rnacentral:rRNA from 1 species
GACGAACGCUGGCGGCGUGCUUAACACAUGCAAGUCGAACGGAAAGGCUCCAGCUUGCUGGAGUACUCGAGUGGCGAACGGGUGAGUAACACGUGGGUAAUCUGCCCUGCACUCUGGGAUAAGCCUGGGAAACUGGGUCUAAUACUGGAUAUGACCUUUCUCCUUAUGGGGUUUGGUGGAAAGUUUUUCGGUGUAGGAUGAGCCCGCGGCCUUUCAGCUUGUUGGUGGGGUGAUGGCCUACCAAGGCGAGGACGGGUAGCCGGCCUGAGAGGGUGAUCGGCCACAUUGGGACUGAGAUACGGCCCAGACUCCUACGGUAGGCAGCAGUGGGGAAUAUUGCACAAUGGGCGGAAGCCUGAUGCAGCGACGCCGCGUGAGGGAUGACGGCCUUCGGGUUGUAAACCUCUUUCAGCAGGGACGAAGCGUAAGUGACGGUACCUGCAGAAGAAGCACCGGCUAACUACGUGCCAGCCGCCGCGGUAA